UCCUGCGGAUCACCGGCUAAAACCGGUCAUGUCCUGUGACCAACGCCGGUACUAGAACGUCCUGUUCG
rnacentral:sRNA from 1 species